rnacentral:rRNA from 1 species
UACGGGGGGGGCAAGCGUUGUUCGGAAUUACUGGGCGUAAAGGGCUCGUAGGCGGCCAACUAAGUCAGACGUGAAAUCCCCAGGCUCAACCUGGGAACUGCGUCUGAUACUGGAUGGCUUGAAUUCGGGAGAGGGAUGCAGAAUUCCAGGUGUAGCGGUGAAAUGCGUAGAGAUCGGGAGGAACACCGGUGGCGAAGGCGGGUCUCUGGGCAUCUCCUGACGCUGAGGCGCGAAAGCGUGGGGAGCAAACGGG